UACAGAGGUCUCAAGCGUUGUUCGGAUUCAUUGGGCGUAAAGGGUGCGUAGGCGGCGCGGUAAGUCGGGUGUGAAAUCUCGGGGCUUAACUCCGAAACUGCAUUCGAUACUGCCGUGCUUGAGGACUGGAGAGGAGACUGGAAUUUACGGUGUAGCGGUGAAAUGCGUAGAUAUCGGAAGGAACACCGGUGGCGAAGGCGGCACGCUGGGCCCGCCCUGACGCUGAGGCGCGAAAGCCAGGGGAGCGAACGGG
rnacentral:rRNA from 1 species